rnacentral:lncRNA from 1 species
GUCUUCCUGGCACAAUUAAACUGUCAAUUAUAUCCUAGUAAAGUGGAAGAUAGAUUCUUAGAGAACUCAUGGAAAUAUCUACACAUUUCUAUAAAACAUUAGGAGAUUUAGUGAGGUUUCUGACUUGUGAGGAGUAAGAAUCAGACACCUUUAAAAAUGGUUUCUUUCAUCUUCAAAAGCAGUUUACAAAAUUGAAGAUUAGAUCUGCUUCAAAGAAAGAGAAAGGGCUCUGUUACAUAUGUUUUAGAACAUUAAAAUAACAUUUGCAAUAUGCCCCCAAAUUUUCAUUUUCCUUAUCAGUGCACACUUAUGUGAUUAAUUCUUUCUCUGCAGUUUCCUGCUUUCAUAAGGAAGUCUGCUUUUGGAUCAUCAAGUGUACUGAAAAAUCUGACUCUGUUUACUGCUACAGACUGAGAAUGGUGAAGCAUUAUUAUAACCAAACUAAGAUGAUUUUGGGUAGUCAUGGGGAGUAACUUUCAAAGCCAUGACUCCCCAAGCAAAGUGGCUUGUUUUCUCCACAUGAUACGAGGUUGGUAACAGAGGCAGCUGUGAGCCUGUGUCCCAUGCAAAUGCAAGAGGGACAAGAGACAAAAAAGUGAUUUCUAUUAAAAAGGUGUCAGAACUGGGGAAAAAAAAAAAAAAGGAGACGUUGGCAAGUCUGCGUUCUGAGAAGCCAACAGCACUAUUUGGUGGUGGAUCUGUUCGAUCAGCUGCAGCUGGUGGAUCUGCAGAGAGGCCUGUGCAGAAGUGUGUGUGUACACAUGCCUACGAUGUGCGUGCAUCACGUGUUCACUCCCCACCCAAGACAGGAAGGACCCCUUAGUGAAACCGCUGACUUGCUGACUUGCAGUGUUUUUGCCAAAACCAAGAUUGCGAAGGACACCUCCACCUCCAGCUAGAGGGGCGGCCUCCCCGGCGGGGUGGACUCGCUUUCCUUCUCUGUAGCCAGACCUUGAAAAAAUUGUGACUUUCACUGGGAUCUGUUCCGCAGUGGCCUUUUGCUAUGUGCCUCCUGAGAAAUUCGUCUUUUUUGUAUAAAAAAGUUGAAAAUGUAUUUCCUGAAAUAAAUGUCCAAAAGCAAAAAUAUAUAUAUAUGUC